rnacentral:rRNA from 1 species
AAAUUGAAGAGUUUGAUCAUGGCUCAGAUUGAACGCUGGCGGCAGGCCUAACACAUGCAAGUCGAGCGGUAGCACAGAGAGCUUGCUCUCGGGUGACGAGCGGCGGACGGGUGAGUAAUGUCUGGGAAACUGCCUGAUGGAGGGGGAUAACUACUGGAAACGGUAGCUAAUACCUCAUAAUGUCGCAAGACCAAAGUGGGGGACCUUCGGGCCUCAUGCCAUCAGAUGUGCCCAGAUGGGAUUAGCUAGUAGGUGGGGUAACGGCCCACCUAGGCGACGAUCCCUAGCUGGUCUGAGAGGAUGACCAGCCACACUGGAACUGAGACACGGUCCAGACUCCUACGGGAGGCAGCAGUGGGGAAUAUUGCACAAUGGGCGCAAGCCUGAUGCAGCCAUGCCGCGUGUGUGAAGAAGGCCUUCGGGUUGUAAAGCACUUUCAGCGGGGAGGAAGGCGUUAAGGUUAAUAACCUUGGCGAUUGACGUUACCCGCAGAAGAAGCACCGGCUAACUCCGUGCCAGCAGCCGCGGUAAUACGGAGGGUGCAAGCGUUAAUCGGAAUUACUGGGCGUAAAGCGCACGCAGGCGGUCUGUCAAGUCGGAUGUGAAAUCCCCGGGCUCAACCUGGGAACUGCAUUCGAAACUGGCAGGCUAGAGUCUUGUAGAGGGGGGUAGAAUUCCAGGUGUAGCGGUGAAAUGCGUAGAGAUCUGGAGGAAUACCGGUGGCGAAGGCGGCCCCCUGGACAAAGACUGACGCUCAGGUGCGAAAGCGUGGGGAGCAAACAGGAUUAGAUACCCUGGUAGUCCACGCCGUAAACGAUGUCGAUUUGGAGGUUGUGCCCUUGAGGCGUGGCUUCCGGAGCUAACGCGUUAAAUCGACCGCCUGGGGAGUACGGCCGCAAGGUUAAAACUCAAAUGAAUUGACGGGGGCCCGCACAAGCGGUGGAGCAUGUGGUUUAAUUCGAUGCAACGCGAAGAACCUUACCUGGUCUUGACAUCCACAGAACUUUCCAGAGAUGGAUUGGUGCCUUCGGGAACUGUGAGACAGGUGCUGCAUGGCUGUCGUCAGCUCGUGUUGUGAAAUGUUGGGUUAAGUCCCGCAACGAGCGCAACCCUUAUCCUUUGUUGCCAGCGGUUAGGCCGGGAACUCAAAGGAGACUGCCAGUGAUAAACUGGAGGAAGGUGGGGAUGACGUCAAGUCAUCAUGGCCCUUACGACCAGGGCUACACACGUGCUACAAUGGCAUAUACAAAGAGAAGCGACCUCGCGAGAGCAAGCGGACCUCAUAAAGUAUGUCGUAGUCCGGAUUGGAGUCUGCAACUCGACUCCAUGAAGUCGGAAUCGCUAGUAAUCGUAGAUCAGAAUGCUACGGUGAAUACGUUCCCGGGCCUUGUACACACCGCCCGUCACACCAUGGGAGUGGGUUGCAAAAGAAGUAGGUAGCUUAACCUUCGGGAGGGCGCUUACCACUUUGUGAUUCAUGACUGGGGUGAAGUCGUAACAAGGUAACCGUAGGGGAACCUGCGGUUGGAUCACCUCCUUACCUUAAAGAA